rnacentral:rRNA from 1 species
AUACGUAGGUGACAAGCGUUAUCCGGAUUUACUGGGUGUAAAGGGCGUGUAGGCGGUUUAGCAAGUCAGAAGUGAAAUUCCCGGGCUUAACUUGGGCGCUGCUUCUGAAACUGCUUUACUUGAGUGCUGGAGAGGAUAGUGGAAUUCCUAGUGUAGCGGUAAAAUGCGCAGAUAUUAGGAGGAACACCGGUGGCGAAGGCGGCUAUCUGGACAGUAACUGACGCUGAGGCGCAAAAGCACGGGGAGCAAACAGGAUUAGAUACCCUGGUAGUCCGUGCCGUAAACGAUGAGUACUAGGUGUAGGGGGUAUCGACUCCCUCUGUGCCGCAGUUAACACAUUAAGUAUUCCACCUGGGGAGUACGGCCGCAAGGUUGAAACUCAAAGGAAUUGGCGGGG